GAUGAACGCUGGCGGCGUGCUUAACACAUGCAAGUCGAACGGAAAGGCCGAAGCUUGCUUCGGUACUCGAGUGGCGAACGGGUGAGUAACACGUGGGUGAUCUGCCCUGUACUUCGGGAUAAGCUUGGGAAACUGGGUCUAAUACCGGAUAUGACGAUCUCUUGGAUGGGGUUGUGGAAAGCUUUUGCGGUAUGGGAUGAGCUCGCGGCCUAUCAGCUUGUUGGUGGGGUAAUGGCCUACCAAGGCGUCGACGGGUAGCCGGCCUGAGAGGGUGUACGGCCACAUUGGGACUGAGAUACGGCCCAGACUCCUACGGGAGGCAGUAGUGGGGAAUAUUGCACAAUGGGCGCAAGCCUGAUGCAGCGACGCCGCGUGGGGGAUGACGGCCUUCGGGUUGUAAACUCCUUUCGCAAUCGACGAAGCCUUUCGGUGACGGUAGGUUGAGAAGAAGCACCGGCUAACUACGUG
rnacentral:rRNA from 1 species